GGGGHGAGGGGCCCCAGAGCCCCAGACCUCCUUGGCUUGGAGGGCGCCAUCACCGGGCAUCGMUGGUCGRCGCACGWKGGUGCUGCCCUCUAASCCGUACCAACGAACCCCGGCGCAAAACGCGCCAAGGAACUUCAACGAAUCAGCAUGCCCCGGCACCCCAGAAACGGUGCGUGUUCGGGGCGUUGCAUUGUAUUCUUUAUAUGUCAAAACGACUCUCGGCAACGGAUAUCUCGGCUCUCGCAUCGAUGAAGAACGUAGCGAAAUGCGAUACUUGGUGUGAAUUGCAGAAUCCCGUGAACCAUCGAGUCUUUGAACGCAAGUUGCGCCCAAAGCCAUUAGGCCGAGGGCACGUCUGCCUGGGCGUCACACAACGUUGCCCCCCCCCUCGUCUUCGAGGAGGACGGGGGGCAGAUGCUGGCCUCCUGUGCGCCACGGCUCGCGGUUGGCCWAAAUACGAGUACUCGGCGAYGAGCGCCGCGGCAAUCGGUGGUUGUCCAACCCUCGGUGCCAUGCUGUGYGCGUGAGACGCUCAYUGUUACUCGACGACCCCAAUGCGUCG
rnacentral:rRNA from 1 species